GAUGAAGAACGUAGCGAAAUGCGAUAAGUAAUGUGAAUUGCAGAAUUCAGUGAAUCAUCGAAUCUUUGAACGCACAUUGCGCCCGCCAGUAUUCUGGCGGGCAUGCCUGUCUGAGCGUCAUUUCAACCCGCAAGCAACUUCUGCUUGGUGUUGGGGAUCGGCCGUUAAACGCCGCCCCCGAAAUCUAUUGGCGAUCUCGCUGUAGCUUCCUAUGCGUAGUAGUAACAUCUCGCAUCUGGAGAGCGGCGCGGUCAUGCCGUAAAACACCCAACUUCUCAGGUUGACCUCAGAUCAGGUAGGAAUACCCGCUGAACUUAAGCAUAUCAAUAAGCGGAGGA
rnacentral:misc_RNA from 1 species